rnacentral:rRNA from 1 species
CCUACGGGGGGCAGCAGUGGGGAAUAUUGCACAAUGGGGGAAACCCUGAUGCAGCGACGCCGCGUGAGCGAAGAAGUAUUUCGGUAUGUAAAGCUCUAUCAGCAGGAAAGAAAAUGACGGUACCUGACUAAGAAGCUCCGGCUAAAUACGUGCCAGCAGCCGCGGUAAUACGUAUGGAGCAAGCGUUAUCCGGAUUUACUGGGUGUAAAGGGAGCGCAGGCGGUCUGGCAAGUCUGGUGUGAAAGGCCGGGGCUCAACCCCGGGACUGCAUUGGAAACUGUCAGACUAGAGUGUCGGAGAGGUAAGCGGAAUUCCUAGUGUAGCGGUGAAAUGCGUAGAUAUUAGGAGGAACACCAGUGGCGAAGGCGGCUUACUGGACGAUGACUGACGCUGAGGCUCGAAAGCGUGGGGAGCAAACAGGAUUAGAUACCCUUGUA